rnacentral:misc_RNA from 1 species
UUAAUAAUUGCAAAUAAAUCAGACAAUAAAUUGUAAGAAUUUUAAGAUCCUCUGGCAGGCACUGACCAGCAAACUAGCCGGCGGUCCAAAAAACGGGCCUGCCAAAGCAACAAAGGUAUUGUAAACAAAGGGUGGGAGAUAUACCCCGAGAGGCAUGUUCUCUGUAAUGAUCCUUCCGCAGGUUCACCUACGGAAA